ensembl:misc_RNA
UGUGCGCGCCUAAUCCGUCUGACGUGCUGCUGAGGGCGCUCGACCGAGGCUGCAGAAGGCACUCAGCUAACCCAAAGUGACAUGUGCCCGGCGGGACAUUCAGUCCGUACAAA